rnacentral:rRNA from 1 species
GCGUAAAGCGCACGCAGGCGGUCUGUCAAGUCGGAUGUGAAAUCCCCGGGCUCAACCUGGGAACUGCAUUCGAAACUGGCAGGCUUGAGUCUUGUAGAGGGGGGUAGAAUUCCAGGUGUAGCGGUGAAAUGCGUAGAGAUCUGGAGGAAUACCGGUGGCGAAGGCGGCCCCCUGGACAAAGACUGACGCUCAGGUGCGAAAGCGUGGGGAGCAAACAGGAUUAGAUACCCUGGUAGUCCACGCCGUAAACGAUGUCUACUUGGAGGUUGUGCCCUUGAGGCGUGGCUUCCGGAGCUAACGCGUUAAGUAGACCGCCUGGGGAGUACGGCCGCAAGGUUAAAACUCAAAUGAAUUGACGGGGGC